UAUCCAGUGGUUCAGGUGUGAUGUCAGAUGUUUUUGUUAUUGUGUCGUAAAUAUCCAGUGAUUAUUUCCGAGUCGCUGAAUGUUCAUCGCACACAGUUUGUCUUUGAGUAGAAACACUGAUUAAUAUCCAUGAUCGGUUAGGUUACGAACUCCCUCAAUUUCAGGCUGGAGAGCUACACAACACUGGUCAUCUGCUGAGUGGUUGAAUUCCUGGUCUACCGGCCCCUGGAGGAGUGGUAGAUUGCCUGGUCUACCGUGGAUAUGAGUGGUUGAUUCCCUGGUCUACCCCUGGAUGACGCGGCUGUUCCUAUGCAGGGGAAGACUCACACAAGCGAUAAGCACCUGUCGGACCUGGAGACUACCCCCUGAGCCUGACGGUGGAGCUGUGGGCCCUGCACCAGACCCCCACACACCCCCACACCACCCACAGCAGGGGCAGGGCGUUGAGACUACCCCCACAGGCUAAGACAGGGAGGGACUUGAAGAUCCAGGUUUUUGUCAUCUGCACAGGAAUUGACACGUGAUGUCUAAGGUUCCGCCCAUGCAGCUGAAGGGUGCCAAUGCCUACACAUGCAUCGACCACAGGUGUGCGCUGGACAUUGCCUACAAUUCAUGGUGCAAAUGGGAGCGCCGGCGGAGAUCGAGCUGGCGGAAGGUUGGCGGCUGGGUCAAGCUCGCAACGGACAAGGAGUUCUGUGAGAUGUGCUCGGCCAAUGUUGUUGACCUCGGCUAUGACAAUCUUACUAAGGUGGUGGAGGUGGGGAACGGCAUCUACAUUGACGACGGACUCAAGGAGAUCGCUGAGACUACUACUACUACUAUUACUAUUACUAUCCUCUAUACUGAUAUAUGUACUAUUAAAUCCUCUAUACAGCUACUAUGUGUACUAUUGAAUCCCUUAUAUAGUACUUCCAUGACAGCUGAUACUACUGCUACUACUACUAUGACCACUCAAUCCCUGGUAAGUACAAUGUCAUUAUCAUCAUCAUUAUUUAGGUUAAGGUCCAUUUAAUUCAAUCUUCCUGAGCGGCUGGACACUUUAUGGCUCUCCUCCAUUCUACUCUGUCUUCCGCCCAAUGCUUAUACAGUCCUAUCAAUCCCAAGUCUUCCUGUACACCUUCUCCAUGUUUUCCUAGGUCUACCAACUGGUCUCCUUCCUUCUACCUCCAUUCUACUCUGUCUUCUGUCCAGUGCUCAUCCAGUCCCAUCACUGCCAAGUCUUCCUGUACACACCUCCACGUUUUCCUAGGCCUACCAACUGGUCUCCUUCCUUCUACCUCCAAUCUCUCCAACACUCCCAGCACUGUAUCCUUCCCUGCUCUCUUUACAUGUCCAAACCAUCAGUCUUUCCCUUCUGAGCACUGUUUCCAGGUCCUCUACUAAAACUCCCAGCACUGUGUCCUCCCCUGCUCUCUUUACAUGUCCAAACCAUCAGUCUUUCCCUUCUGAGCACUGUUUCCAGGUCCUCUACUAAAACUCCCAGCACUGUGUCCUCCCCUGCUCUCUUUACAUGUCCAAACCAUCAGUCUUUCCCUUCUGAGCACUGUUUCCAGGUCCUCUACUAAAACUCCCAGCACUGUGUCCUCCCCUGCUCUCUUUACAUGUCCAAACCAUCAGUCUUUCCCUUCUGAGCACUGUUUCCAGGUCCUCUACUAAAACUCCCAGCACUGUGUCCUCCCCUGCUCUCUUUACAUGUCCAAACCAUCAGAGUCUUUCCCUUCUGAGCACUGUUUCCAGGUCCUCUACUAAAACUCCCAGCACUGUGUCCUCCCCUGCUCUCUUUACAUGUCUCUGCCAAAUAUUUCCCUCUCCCUGCCUCUGUCCCUGCCAAAUCACUCUCUCCCUGCCUGUGUCCCUGCCAUAUCUCUCCCUCCCUGCUAAAUCUAGCCUCUCCUCCUUACCUAACCUACCUUACCCUACCCUAAGCUACCCUAACCUCCCUCUCUCUCUCUCUCCACCAGGUUGACAAGCCCGUCCAUGGUGAAGAAGCCUUGUCCUACCCAUCCUGAGGUGACCCGUGUGGGCAAUGCUACCAUGGAUGGAGCAGUGGGGGAGGCGGCGGCUGAGUGGAUAGCAUGAUGGCGCCACAUUCGGGACAACGCGAGUUCAAUCCCCGCCCGGUGCCACCAAGCUGGGAUUUUUCAGCCGCCGCCGAGUGGCUUAAAACUACCCACAUGCUGUCCAGAAGACCAACUAUCAACCCGGACUCUAGAUUCUAGGAUUGAAGAUGAGCUCCGGGAGGGCAGCAUGAGCCAAUGCAAGAUGGCGUAUGUAUAUACUUAUGAAUGUAUAUACUUAGAAUAUCUCUUUGAUAAGGCUUUCGUCGGGGUUGUGGAUAUUUCCAGGGGUAGUUUGAUGACCCUGGUGGUAGCUAUAUACAGUCUGACCCUCUCUGUACCUUGAGCCUAACUUAGGGUCGUAUUAAAAGACAUUUCAUCGCCCAAGAACACUCAUUUGACAAGGUUUUCGUAGGAGUUGAGGGCAUUUCCAGUAGUAGUUCUAUGACCCUGGUGGUAGUGUGACCCUUCCUCUGUACCAUGAACCUGUAGAAACACUCAUUAGAACCCGAUUGACCCCUUCUUUGACCUUUAUAAAUAGGUAAUGUGAGAAGCGAAAGUGUACCGAGAGAACACUCAUUAGAACCCGAUUUAUAACUUUUUUGGCCGGUACAUAAAAUCCCUGCUCAGGGUCGCCAUACAGCAGGAGGCGUAACGUAUGUGUGGGUUUUCGAGCAAAAUCUGGAAACCUAUCUUCGUUAUUGGGGUUAUUUCCUUGCAAAUGGGGACUUUCCUGGGAGAGUACGUCACAGCAAAGCCAUUUCUGGUCUUGAAAUUGCGAUACAGCGCCUACCAGUCGAGAUAGCCUUGUCUAGUUCUGUCUCUUUUUUUCUCUGUGUUCUGUCUUUAAAUAAAUGCCCGGGAAUGGCGCCAACGCUCGCUUCCCCGCCAAGCUUAGUAUCUCAACCACGCUUAUUAAUGGUCAUACGCAGGGACGAACUAUGAAUUAAUGACUUUAAAAACACAAUAAUAUAGCUCAUAACCGUAAAGCUAAAGGACAUUUUAAAUACACGAAUAUUCCAGGAAAGAACCGACGCGCUGACCCCGCCAAAUUUACCAUAGUGCCUCCCCCAAGCGUAUUUAUGAUCUUACGCACGGACGAACUAUAAAUUAAUGACCAUAAAAACACAAUAAUAUAGCUCAUACCCGUAAAGCUGAAGGACAUUU